GCAUUGGUGGUUUAGUGGUAGAAUUGUCACCUUCCAUGCAGGAAAUCCAGGUUCUAUUCCUGGCCGGUGUA
rnacentral:tRNA from 1 species